CCUACGGGUGGCAGCAGUGGGGAAUAUUGCACAAUGGGCGAAAGCCUGAUGCAGCAACGCCGCGUGAAGGAAGAAGGGUUUCGGCUCGUAAACUUCUAUCAACAGGGACGAAAGAAAUGACGGUACCUGAAGAAGAAGCCACGGCUAACUACGUGCCAGCAGCCGCGGUAAUACGUAGGUGGCAAGCGUUAUCCGGAUUUACUGGGUGUAAAGGGCGAGUAGGCGGGAUGGGAAGCCAGAUGUGAAAGCCAUGGGCUUAACCUGUGGACUGCAUUUGAAACUGUAGAUCUUGAGUACAGGAGAGGAAAACGGAAUUCCUAGUGUAGCGGUGAAAUGCGUAGAUAUUAGGAGGAACACCAGUGGCGAAGGCGGCUUGCUGGACAGAAACUGACGCUGAGGCGCGAAAGCGUGGGGAGCGAACAGGAUUAGAUACCCGUGUAGUC
rnacentral:rRNA from 1 species